AUUGAACGCUGGCGGCAGGCCUAACACAUGCAAGUCGAGCGGUAACACAGGGAGCUUGCUCCCGGGUGACGAGCGGCGGACGGGUGAGUAAUGUCUGGGAAACUGCCUGAUGGAGGGGGAUAACUACUGGAAACGGUAGCUAAUACCGCAUAAUGUCGCAAGACCAAAGAGGGGGACCUUCGGGCCUCUUGCCAUCAGAUGUGCCCAGAUGGGAUUAGCUAGUAGGUGGGGUAACGGCUCACCUAGGCGACGAUCCCUAGCUGGUCUGAGAGGAUUACCAGCCACAAUGGAACUGUGACACGGGCCAGGCUCCUACGGGAGGCAGCAGUGGGGAAUAUGGCACAAUGGGCUCAAGGCUGAUGCUGCCAUGCAGCGUGUAUGAAGAAGGGCUUCGGGUUGGAGAGUACUUUCAGCGUGGGGGAAGGCGGUGAGGUUAAUAACCUGGCCGAUUGACGUUACCCGCAGAAGAAGCACCGGCUAACUCCGUGCCAGCCGCCGCAGUAA
rnacentral:rRNA from 1 species